AUGUGUCAGGGUCAUAUUGUGCAUAGUGAAAAUUUACACAUUAGAAAAGUGAAGCAAAGAUCAUGUUUAUUACGUUUGAAACUGUACGUCUAAGAAAAUUUCAGUCAUACUGGCAACAAAUCUGACCAAAUAAUGGCAUGGACAAAAACACAAGAAAUGGCAAGAGAAAAAAAUAAUUCUUUGCAAUGGAAAUCUCUGGAAAAAAAAACAUGAAAGAAGAAACGAAGGCAACAGAAACAAUUGAUUUUCAUAGUAGUGAUGAAUGUAGCUUACCAGUUAGAACCUCCUAGCAGCAAUGAAUGAAGCUUCCCAUUUAGAACCUCCUAGCAGUAAUGAAUGUAGCUUACCAGUUAGAACCUCCUAGCAGUAAUGAAUGUAGCUAACCAGUUGGAACAUCAAAUACAUCUAUGCAUAAUAACUUACAUGUACCGUCAGCAGCAGUAAUGAAUGUAGCUUACCAGUUGGAACCUCCUAGCAUUAAUGAAUGAAGCUUAUCAGUUGAAAUUUCCUAGCAGUAAUAAAUGUAGCUCACCAGUUGAAAUCUUCUAGCAGUAAUGAAUGUAGCUUACCAGUUGGAAUCUCCUAGCAGUAAUAAAUGUAGCUUACCAAUUGAAAUCUACUAGCAGUAAUGAAUGUAGCUUACCAGUUGGAACAUCAAAAACAUAUAUGCCUAAUAGCUUACAUUUACCGUCAGCAGCAGUAAUGAAUGUAGCUUACAAGUUGGAAUCUCCUAGCAGAAAUUAAUGUAGCUUACUAGUUGGAAUUUUCUAGCAGUAAUAAAUGUAGCUUACCAGUUGAAAUCUCCUAGCAGUAAUGAAUGUAGCUUACAAGUAAUCUCCUAGCAGUAAUGAAAGUAGUCUACCAGUUGGACCCUCCUAGCAGUAGUGAAUGUAGCUUACCAGUUGGCAUCUCCUAGCAGUAGUGAAUCUAGUUUACCAGUUGGAAUCUCCUAGCAGAUAUGAAUAUAGGUUACCUGUAAUUUCCUAGCAGUAAUUAAUGUAGCUUACCAGUUGGAAUUUUCUAGCAGUAAUGAAUGUAGCUUACCAGUUGGAACCUACUAGCAGUAAUGAAUGUAGCUUGCCAGUAAUCUUCUAGCAGUAAUGAAAGUAGCCCACCAGUUGGAACCUCCUAGCAGUAAUGAAUGAAGCUUACCAGUUGGAAUCUCCUAGCAUUAAUGAAUGUAGCUUACCAGUUGUCAUACUUUGGACGACAAAAUUAUUUUAUUUAUUAAUAUUACUUUUA